rnacentral:miRNA from 1 species
GGGACGACAUGAGAUCACACG